ensembl:lncRNA
GUACUGGCCCCACCUCCUUUGCCUCUUCCUGCCUCCUUCCUCUCACCCACCACCCUUUGAGCCAUUUUUCCCUAUGAUUUUUAAAAUUCUCAGUUAUCUCUUUCCCCUUGUUUGUUAAUUUACUAAAAAACUGCAAGCUGGUCACUCCACAACCUGAUGGCUUUGGAGGAAAAUGCUCGAGAAUUGAAAAAGAAAAUCAAGGUCUGAGAAACCGGUCUGAGCAAGUUCUCAAAUAUUGAACCCCAUGAAUAGAAGGAAAGGCCUAUCUCCUGGAGGAAGAAUCCUGUGACAUAGCUUCAAUCAUACAUUAUACAUCAGUAAGACACCUUCAGACACAGAAGUGCAUGCAGAGCACCAGCUGAGAGUGGACAGGAGUACCUGACCAGCGGAAAAGAAUAUACAGAACCAUGCAAAACUUGGUAGGAUGAAGGAACUAGGAGGAAAAACGGGAGUGUUAGUAGGACCGGACCUACCCUCGGGGGGUGGGGGAACUGAAACAGGGGUCCGACCCCCACAUAGGGGCAACUGUCUGUGUCAGAGGAGAAACAUUUAAGGCUGAGAGUGAAACAGCUGACCUGUGGUAGCCUAAAUGGAAUGAGAAUCAGACAGUCCUUGCCACAGACAUAUAUAACAGGUCCCCUGGAAGGUGUAGUGGCUGGGAGCUGGAGUUUACGGAUUGUGGAGCAAUCCUAGGGAGAGAUCUGCUGUUGACUGUGGAGAGAUGGAUUGAGGGGAUGUGAGGGAGGAGACUGUGGUGGGAAAUGCCUGUGGAGGAAAGCUGGGCAGCUGUGAAAGCAAGGCUGAGUCAUACACAGCGGGUGGAGCCAUCACCAUAGCCUCUCCCUCCCCACACGCCAGCAUUGGCAGCUGAACAAUAGAGAGGCUGGCCCAUCAAACACCUGACACACUGAACUAGAGUAGGACCCACCCAGGGUGCCCCUUUAAGUGCCUGACACGCCUCUCUAGAGAAUAGGACCCCAGCCAGGGGGGGCCCUCUAUGUGCCUGACACGCCGAACAACAGAGAAGGAUCCCAGGCAUGGGAGCCCUCUAAGUUCCUGAAUGGGCAGAGCUACAGAGAAAGACUGGCCAAAGAGGCCUUCUGAUCACCAGCUACAGGAGGUUUUAAAAAAGACUCAUCAGGCCAUAAUUCUUGUGGCAGAGGCAGUCUGUGUCCCUGCACACUUGGCGCCUCCAGGGUCCCUGCAAGCCAAGCAGCUGUGCUACCUUCACACUCAACUCCUACUGGGGCAGAACUGCAACAGGCAAAAAAAGUCUUGCAUCUACGCACGCAGUAUUACUUCGGUCAUGUCCGACUCUUUGAGACCCUGUGGACUAUAGCCUGCCAGACUUCUCGGUUGGGGAGGGGGUUCUCUGUAGUUCAGUGCAUUCAGCAGGGUUCUCCAGGCAGGAAUACUGGAGCGUAUUGGCCAAUACUGGUUGCCAUACCCUUCUAGAGCACUAUAUUUCCUGCUGCCCUAGCCACUAACUCCCCUGAGUACCUGGUGAUACCAGAACCCCUGUGACCCAAGCAGCUGCACCACCCCCACAUCUGGCCCUUACAGGGGUAAGCCCAAGUCCUCCAGGGCAGCCUCAGGAACAAACCCCAGUGGAUGACCCACAUGUAGAGGUGGAA